rnacentral:tRNA from 1 species
CGUUCUAUGGCCAAAUUGGUAAAGACAUCGCUGAUCACAAGCGAGUAUGCGGGUUCGAGUCCCGCUGGAACGG